rnacentral:rRNA from 1 species
UUGGAGGGCAAGUCUGGUGCCAGCAGCCGCGGUAAUUCCAGCUCCAAUAGCGUAUAUUAAAGUUGUUGCAGUUAAAAAGCUCGUAGUUGAAUUUCGGGAUCAAUUUAUUGGUCGUGCCAACGGUACGCACUGGUACAAUUGGGUUCUCCCUUCUGGCGAAGCAUGAUGUUAUUAAUUUGAUGUCGUGGGGAAUCAGGACUGUUACUUUGAAAAAAUUAGAGUGUUUAAAGCAGGCUUUGGCUUGAAUACAUUAGCAUGGAAUAAUGAAAUAGGACGUUUGAUCUUAUUUCGUUGGUUUCUAAGAUCGGCGUAAUGAUUAAUAGGGAUAGUUGGGGGCAUUAGUAUUCAAUUGUCAGAGGUGAAAUUCUUGGAUUUAUUGAAGACUAACUACUGCGAAAGCAUUUGCCAAGGAUGUUUUCAUUAAUCAAGAACGAAAGUUAGGGGAUCGAAGACGAUCAGAUACCGUCGUAGUCUUAACCAUAAACUAUGCCGACUAGGGAUCGGAUGAUGUUAAUGUUUUAAUGACUCAUUCGGCGCCUUACGGGAAAC